rnacentral:misc_RNA from 1 species
GUAGGUGAACCUGCGGAAGGAUCAUUAUCGAGUUCUCCUGCUCUGCAGGAACUCCCACACGUGGAUCCUCCAAAAAGGGUUCUUCGGCGAGACGCUGGAAACGGCCAUCGGCAUCGGGCAUAACGUCCGAUGACGAUGUGAUCUCGCCGGAGUUCAUACUCUGCAUAUUGCACUGUCAGUAAAAACAAGCAAUAAAUAAAAACUUUCAACAACGGAUCUCUUGGUUUUGGCAUCGAUGAAGAACGCAGCA